rnacentral:rRNA from 1 species
AGCGCCCGUAGCCGGACCAUUAAGUCCGCUGUGAAAUGUUGGGGCUCAACCCUAACGCGCGCAGUGGAUACUGUUGGUCUUGGGAAUGGGGGAGGGUCGGGGUACUUCCAGGGUAGGGGUAAAAUCCGUUGAGCCCGGAAGGACCACCAGUGGCGAAGGCGCCGAUCCAAAACAUAUCCGACGGUGAGGGACGAAAGCUGGGGGAGCGAACGGGAUUAGAUACCCCGGUAGUCCCAGCUGUAAAUGAUGCAGACUUUGGUGUUGCUUAUGAGUAAUCAUAGGCAGUGCUGUAGCGUAGGUGUUAAGUCUGCCGCCUGGGGAGUACGAUCGCAAGAUUGAAACUUAAAGGAAUUGGCGGGGGAGCACAAG